GAAAUGCGAUAAGUAAUGUGAAUUGGAGAAUUCAGUAAAUCAUCGAAUCUUUGAACGCACAUUGCGCCCGCCAGCACUCUGGCGGGCAUGCCUGUUCGAGCGUCAUUUCAACCCUCAGAACCCCUUGCGGGAUCUGGCGUUGGGGAUUGGCAUCCAGCCAGCCCCGAAAUCUAGUGGCGGUCCCUCCGCGACCUCCCCUGUGCAGUAGCGAUACCUCGCAGCGGGACAGCGGUCUGACCACGCCGUAAAACCCCCAACUUCUCAAGGUUGACCUCGAAUCAGGUAGGAAUACCCGCUGAACUUAAGC
rnacentral:misc_RNA from 1 species